rnacentral:hammerhead_ribozyme from 1 species
AUCCAGGUGAUGAGUCGCAAAUUAGACGAACCUUGCGUCCUGGAU